AUCAUGACAUAUGUGUGGCUACUAUGGCUUGGAUAAAAUCUCUGACGACCGUCGACGGACAGGUUGCAGGAUACUAAGAUAAAAAGAACCAGUUGACAUAUACAACUAUAAAGGGAGCGGGUCACACAGCUCCACAGUACAAACCUGAAAAAUGUCAUGCUAUGAUUAGUCGGUGGUUCGCAUACUAACCGCUGUAGUCAGAAUUUCUGUAUCCCAAACUUAAUAAGUUAACUGGUUCACAGCAAAAGUUCAUAAUAGUUGAUGUUGGAUUCGUAAAGCCUGUGUCUGUUUGAGUCAAUUCUUCAAAGAUUGUCAUAAAAUCAUAAAUCAAAUAUCAGUUUUAUUUAUGAGAUAGCUAUAA